rnacentral:rRNA from 1 species
AAAACUACUCUCGGUAACGGAUAUCUCGGCUCUCGCAUCGAUGAAGAACGUAGCGAAAUGCAAUACUUGGUGUGAAUUGCAGAAUCCCGUGAACCAUCGAGUCUUUGAACGCAAGUUGCGCCCCAAGCCUUCUGGCCGAGGGCACGUCUGCCUGGGUGUCACAA